CUCGCUGUAUAAAAGAACGCGUCACGUGCUCGUCUUCCUCCUUCGACCCGCUCUCUCAGAGGAUGGAGGUGUCUGUGGAAACGAGUCUCGGCUCAGCGCGAGGUUGCGCCGCAGUCUUUACUGGAGAGGUCACAUGAUGCAAGAAGAGUUGAAUAUGAACAUGUCCCGUCAUCAAAAUACUCCCUGAGGCGGUCCGAGGGAGCCUUCUGUAACAGAUGGCGCAGUGCUGCCGGUGAGGAGACGCCGUCGCUGUGGCUCAGUGCACUGGUGCUGAUGGCCUGUGGGACGGCUGGAGCAAGUGCAGGUAUGAUGCUGUCCGCUCUCAAUAUAAUAUAGUGACUCCUGAUCAAGGAUGACAGAUUUCUGAUGGUGACUGCUGGAUGAAACUUGCGGAUAUGGGACUGAGAUCAGUGUUUGUCAGUUUGAGGCAGUGUCUGUGCUGUCUGUUGUGGCUCAUGGUGUCUUUUUUUUUUUUUUUUUUUUUUUUUUAAGGUUUCCAGUGGCUCCUGCCAAGCAAGUAGAAGUUGGAGUCGUGCAAAAAAAUCCUAAUAAAGUGUGGCUAGGUCUAACA